UACAGAGGUCUCAAGCGUUGUUCGGAUUCAUUGGGCGUAAAGGGUGCGUAGGUGGCGCGCUAAGUCAGGUGUGAAAUUUCGAAGCUUAACUCCGAAACUGCAUUUGAUACUGGCGUGCUUGAGGACUGGAGAGGAGACUGGAAUUCAUGGUGUAGCAGUGAAAUGCGUAGAGAUGCGGAGGAACACCGAUGGCGAAGGCAACCCCCUGGGCUGACACUGACGCUCAGGCACGAAAGCGUGGGGAGCAAACAGG
rnacentral:rRNA from 1 species